AGUGAACGCUGGCGGUAGGCCUAACACAUGCAAGUCGAACGGCAGCACAGUAAGAGCUUGCUCUUACGGGUGGCGAGUGGCGGACGGGUGAGGAAUACAUCGGAAUCUACUUUUUCGUGGGGGAUAACGUAGGGAAACUUACGCUAAUACCGCAUACGACCUACGGGUGAAAGCUGGGGAUCUUCGGACCUUGCGCGAUUGAAUGAGCCGAUGUCGGAUUAGCUAGUUGGCGGGGUAAAGGCCCACCAAGGCGACGAUCCGUAGCUGGUCUGAGAGGAUGAUCAGCCACACUGGAACUGAGACACGGUCCAGACUCCUACGGGAGGCAGCAGUGGGGAAUAUUGGACAAUGGGCGCAAGCCUGAUCCAGCCAUACCGCGUGGGUGAAGAAGGCCUUCGGGUUGUAAAGCCCUUUUAUUGGGAAAGAAAAGCAGCAGGUUAAUACCCCGCUGUUCUGACGGUACCCAAAGAAUAAGCACCGGCUAACUUCGUG
rnacentral:rRNA from 1 species